CAAGCCACCGCCCACCCCGGCAUUUUUUCGUCAGAUUCAAUCGACUCUCCUAUCCCACGACUGCGGCGAUCAGGGCCGGCAGUAUGGGGGUGGCCGCCCGCUGGCCGAGCUCGGAUCCACCACACGACCAUCCCCGCGCGAGCACUCCGCUCUAUCCCCCCUGAUUGCAGCGACCAGCGACGGCGGAUUGGAGGAGGCCACCCGACCGGCCGAGCUCUGCAUCAACCAGCGACAGCGGAUUGGAGGAGGCCGCCCCACCCGGCUCUCUUUCCCCACCGAUUGCAGCGACCGGCGCCGGCUGACGGCUGGUACAAGGUUCUCCAGACAUGAUAGGCACAUCCGAACAAUCAGAUAACAUGAUUACAUUACAAGGCCAAGCUUGUAAUGUAGAUGCAUUAGCAUGCUCCACUGGUCCAGCUGAUCCACGACCGUCAAGGAGAGGUCGUGGACGUAGACCAACCGAGACCUACAGACCCAGUCCAAGCUGCAAAGCUUUCUUCUGAGUGUGACAUCCACAUCAGGAGCCGAAUGCAUGUUGCUACGCACUGGAAUGACUAUGACAAAAGCCCACUCAAACAUGUUAUUCCCCAUGCUAUUAAAGAUAUCGCGCUUAACUUUGAGAUGGAAAAGGAUGACAAGGUUGGGAAUGAUGUAUGCACAAAAGUAAUCCAGAAGGGUUCGACAACAACGCUACAGGCUAAAGAAGAAAUACUUCAAUGGUUAUACUGCUCAGGAAGCAUUAUCAAAUAAGCCAGCGAACAUCACUCAUGAGAAUUGGACCAGCCAUGUCAAUAAAUGGUCUGAUGAAAGAAACAAGGAAAUAUGUCAAAUGAAUAAGGAAAACCGAGAAGCUGUCAAGCAUCACCAAAAGACUGGAUCUAUGUCUUAUGUUGCCUUUUUCAGCAAACUUAUAAGAAUUCCAAAUAUCUUACUUGUACUCCUAUCUCUAUUGCAUCUGGCCAAUAUAUAUGUAGUAGUAAUGUUACAAUUUCAUAUAUCUUGUAGGAAAAAGACAAGUACAAUAAUCAGGACACAAGUCCCAUUGAGUUUUUCAAAGACACCCAUACAAACAGCAAGACUGGUAGCAUGAGCGAGCCGACACUUCUAGCUCAUAAUGCGAUGGAAAAGAAAAGGGAAACACAAUCAGAAGGUGAGUAGCUAGUAUCUGAUACAGCGAUUGUGGCUGAUGUUCUAAAGGAAGAAAGUGCCCAUAGCACCUUCCUCUUUCCAGCAUGGGGUAUGCAUCAAGAUCUGGGAGGUCUGGGAGCUCUCCCAGAUCCGAGUUUUAGAAGAAAGAAUUGAACAGAAGGAUAGAGAGGCAAGAGAUGCAAAUGACAGGCAUCGGGAGGAGUUAGCCGCAAGACUUGAAGCACAAGAGAGAGUAUUUUAAGAGAUACAAAAGAAACAUCAAGAAGAAUUGGAAGCUCUAAAGAAGAGCCAGCAAGAGAAGAAUGAAGCUUGUGUAAAGAAGCAAAAGGAGACGGAUAAUCUGCUAGAUUUUCUCUUGAGGGCUCAAGCAACUCAGCAAUCCCAGUCCAAACCAGAUGGUUCAUGAAUGCCAUCCUUACAUUGGAAUUAUAAAGAAAACAUAUGUGGUCUUUAGUUAAUAUUAGUUUUCAUCUUGUCUAUUGUCUGUGUCAAACUUGAGUCAGUUUUUUACUGUCACUUUUGUUUACAGAAUGAUUUGGCUGAGACGAUUUCAUAUAUAAUAUGAUUUGACUUUCAUAUCAA